rnacentral:rRNA from 1 species
GACGAACGCUGGCGGCGUGCUUAACACAUGCAAGUCGAACGAAGAGCGAUGGAAGCUUGCUUCUAUCACUCUUAGUGGCGCACGGGUGAGUAACGCGUAAUCAACCUGCCCUUCAGAGGGGGACAACAGUUGGAAACGACUGCUAAUACCGCAUACGAUCUAACCUCGGCAUCGAGGAUGGAUGAAAGGUGGCCUCUAUUUAUAAGCUAUCACUGAAGGAGGGGAUUGCGUCUGAUUAGCUAGUUGGAGGGGUAACGGCCCACCAAGGCGAUGAUCAGUAGCCGGUCUGAGAGGAUGAACGGCCACAUUGGGACUGAGACACGGCCCAGACUCCUACGGGAGGCAGCAGUGGGGAAUCUUCCGCAAUGGACGAAAGUCUGACGGAGCAACGCCGCGUGAGUGAUGACGGCCUUCGGGUUGUAAAGCUCUGUUAAUCAGGACGAAAGGCCUUCUUGCGAAUAGUUAGAAGGAUUGACGGUACCGGAAUAGAAAGCCACGGCUAACUACGUG